UGCAAUGGAAAAAUUAAUGGGAAUCGAACCCACAGUGUUCCGAAUACCGGGCAGAUGCCAUGUCCACUAGGCUAGC